rnacentral:rRNA from 1 species
AGGGGGUGCGAGCGUUGCUCGGAAUCACUGGGCGUAAAGCGUACGCAGGCGGACCGUUAAGUCGGGUGUGAAAGCCCGGGGCUCAACCCCGGAAUUGCAUUCGAUACUGGCGGUCUUGAGUACGGGAGAGGUGAGUGGAAUUCCUGGUGUAGAGGUGAAAUUCGUAGAUAUCAGGAGGAACACCGGUGGCGAAAGCGGCUCACUGGCCCGAUACUGACGCUCAUGUACGAAAGCGUGGGGAGCAAACAGGAUUAGAUACCCUGGUAGUCCACGCCGUAAACGAUGAGUGCUAGCUGCUGGCGAUCCUUUAAUUUUCGUCGGUGGCGUAGCUAACGCGUUAAGCACUCCGCCUGGGAAGUACGGCCGCAAGGUUA